UCCGCCCUGAGGGUCUCCACAAGGCUGCAGAGAUCGGGGCUUCUCCUUUGCUCCCCAUCCUCGAGCAGACGCCAGCUUGGUUAAUGACGGGUUUACUUGGCCUUUUCAUAAUUGUGAGGAUGAGAUUGGAUUGGGGCUCUCACAGAUUCUGAGGUUUAGGGGGCGCCGGUGCCCCCUUCUUCCUGAGUGUUCUCUAUUCACCGUUUAUUAAGGAAAGUGGGAGUAGCGGGACUAGGGGAGGUGAGAUGAGGUCAAGGUGAAUGUAGAAUAAGGUGUGAACUCCCUGCCUUUGUGUUCUGCGCGGCCAUCAGCCCAGCGCGGGUGACAGUUAAGGACGGGGUGAAUACACUAUCUCGGUCUAAGGGGUCUGAUGAACGACAUCAAUCGGAAUCACAUCGGCUCUUCCUGUCAUCCCUGGCUUCAGAUCAUCCACCGGAAGUGCUGCUGCAGCUGCUGAGGACGCUCGGGGCAGUGCCGCUGCCCUGCAGCCCUGUAGACCUGAGCAGGACCUGCGCCCUCCGGGGGCCUGGCAGGAGGAUGAGGCAGUCUGAGUUCAGAACCGCCGCCCUGCACGUGGGGAGGGUGCUGCACAGGGUCCUCACCCUCAAAGCUUUGUUUUCUCAGCUGUGAUAAGACUUAGAAACCAGUGCCAUCAUCGGGGUUGCUGUGAGAAAAAGGAAUUCAUAUAAAAAUGUGUUUUUAUGAGGUGUGAUCAAAAAUACACUGAAUGCGGCUGCCGAGUACCAUCCAAUGGAAAGAGACAAGCUUGUAAAAACAUUGGGUAGGUCCUCAUUCACCUUAUGCACUGGAUCUGGCACUCUGAGACUUCUGGUUCUGCUCCAAAGUCAAAAUCAUCAUGGUCAUGCUAUGUAGUUCAGGCUGGCCUGGAAUUCACUAUGUACCUCAGGCUGGCCUUGAACUUGCAGCAAUCCUCCUG
rnacentral:lncRNA from 1 species